UCCCGCAACGAGCGCAACCCCUGCAUUCAGUUGCCAUCGGGUAAUGCCGGGCACUCUGGAAGGACUGCCAUCGACAAGAUGGAGGAAGGUGGGGAUGACGUCAAGUCAUCAUGGCCCUUAUGUCCAGGGCGACACACGUGCUACAAUGGCCGGCACAACGGGAAGCGAGUUCGCGAGGACGAGCGGAUCCCUCAAAGACCGGUCGCAGUUCGGAUUGAAGUCUGCAACUCGACUUCAUGAAGCUGGAAUCGCUAGUAAUCGUGGAUCAGCCAAGCCGCGGUGAAUACGUUCCCGGGCCUU
rnacentral:rRNA from 1 species